GCGGAGAAGCACUCAACUCGCUUUCGAGACUCCUUUGGCGUCUUCGGUCUACUGCAUUGACGCUUCCGGGACAUACAUUCUUCAGUCCAAUCACUCGACAUCUACACUUUCGAGUUCACGAUGUGACUAUUGGCUACAAGUACCAUUGUCCAUCUUUCAUGGACGAUUCACUGCUUGGCUGAAGAAGACAUUAUGCUUCAAGGACCAGAUUUUCUCGGACUUCCAUUCUAAGGGCCAUAUAUAUUCCUAAACCGAGAGCUAAAAGGAGCUCUCUAUGGUGAAGUGCCUUCUGAAUACUCUUGGAAUUAUCUUCUUGACCGUCAUAUGUAUAUAUCUCUUGUCGUUUUCAUCCAUCUAGUUUCUAAGGGCAUGUCUCUUGUUGGUGCACAACUGGUGUCUGCAACCUAUUUUAAAAUUCACCCGCGGCCAAUUGCUGGCUUUGGGAAAGCUAUCAUUACUUGCAAUUUUGCUAAGCAUUGAUCAGGAAUAAGUAAGUGUUUGCAAUUUCUUCAUUAGUUCUUCUCAACAUGAAACUUGUCUUUAGAUGUCUGGGUUUACUUAAUAAUUUUGUUGGGGAGUACUCUUUUAUGAAUGAGGCACAUUGGCAUGAUGUGUUUUCUUCUCA